rnacentral:rRNA from 2 species
GACAGAGGGUGCAAACGUUGUUCGGAAUUACUGGGCGUAAAGCGUGUGUAGGCGGCCACGUAAGUCGGAUGUGAAAGCCCCAGGCUCAACCUGGGAAGUGCACUCGAUACUGCGUGGCUUGAGUAUCGGAGAGGUUGGUGGAAUUCUCGGUGUAGAGGUGAAAUUCGUAGAUAUCGAGAGGAACACCGGUGGCGAAGGCGGCCAACUGGACGAAUACUGACGCUGAGACACGAAAGCGUGGGGAG